rnacentral:rRNA from 1 species
UUUAAUUCGAUGCAACGCGAAGAACCUUACCUACUCUUGACAUCCACGGAAUUGUGCAGAGAUGCGCAAGUGCCUUCGGGAACCGUGAGACAGGUGCUGCAUGGCUGUCGUCAGCUCGUGUUGUGAAAUGUUGGGUUAAGUCCCGCAACGAGCGCAACCCUUGUCCUUUGUUGCCAGCGCGUAGAGGCGGGAACUCAAAGGAGACUGCCGGUGAUAAACCGGAGGAAGGUGGGGACGACGUCAAGUCAUCAUGGCCCUUACGAGUAGGGCUACACACGUGCUACAAUGGCGUAUACAAAGGGAUGCGAACCUGCGAGGGAAAGCGGAACUCAGAAAGUACGUCGUAGUCCGGAUUGGAGUCUGCAACUCGACUCCAUGAAGUCGGAAUCGCUAGUAAUCGUAGAUCAGAAUGCUA